UGAUGCUGAUGCUGAUGCUGAUGUUGAUGAUGAUGCUGCUGCUGUUGCUGUUGCUGAUGGCCAACAACCUCAGCAGCAGCUAAG